rnacentral:rRNA from 1 species
AUGGAAUAUAUAAGAAUUAUUGGAGUAAAUAACUACCAGAGGGGGCCACUAGGUGGGCACAACCCACCUGGGCACGCCAGGGAGCCCAGGCGCGCCCUGGUGGGUUGUGCCCUCCUCGGCCCACCUCCGGUGCCCAUCUUCUGGUAUAUAGGUCAUUUUGACCUAGAAAAAAAUAAGGAGAGGACUUUCGGGACUGAGCGCCUCCAUCUCGAGACGGAACUUGGGCAGGAGCACUUUUGCCCUUCGGCGGAGCGAUUCCGCCGAGGGAACUUCCCUCCCGGAGGGGGAAAUCAUCGUCACCAUCAUCACCAAAAACUCUCCCAUCUUGGGGUGGGCAAUCUCCAUCAACAUCUUCAACAGCACCAUCUCAUCUCAAACCCUAGUUCAUCUCUUGUGUUCAAUCUUGUUACCGGAACUAUAGAUUGGUGCUUGUGGGUGACUAGUAGUGUUGAUUACAUCUUGUAG